rnacentral:rRNA from 1 species
CUGCGGUGAAUACGUUCUCGAGUCUUGUACNCACCGCCCGUCAAGCCAAGGGAGCCGGGAAUACCCGAAGCCCCCGCAUUAGCGGGGUUUACGGUAAGCUCGGUGACAAGGGUU